rnacentral:tRNA from 1 species
GCGAGAGUGGCGGAAUUGGUAGACGCGCGGGGCUUAGGACCCCGUGGUUCAUGGAACCGUGGGGGUUCGAGUCCCCCCUCUCGCACCA